AUGAUGCUGGUCGUUCUCUGCUGGAUAAGCUCAAACAUCUUGCUUGUUUCAGGUUCCUCCCAGAGCGACCAGGUCGUCCAGACUCCGGUUGAGAUGUUCCAGAAAACCAGAGAAACAGCCAGAAUCAGCUGUUCUCACAGCAUCCAGACCUCCAACCAGAUCCUCUGGUACAAACAGACCGGGCAUCAGAUGCAGCUGCUGGGAUACACGACGGGAACCAGUCCGCUUCCAGAGAAGGGACUGAACGUGGAGAUGGCGGGGAGCGCGGAUGCAAACCAGAACUGCACUUUAAUAAUCAAAGAGCUGAACGUGAGCAGCAGCGCUGUUUACUUCUGCGCUGCUAGUCAGCACAGUGCUGCGGUUCACUGCUGCUCUGUGCAAAAACCCAACAUCAGUGGUUCAGUAAUCAGCAUCGGAGCUCACCUCAUCCUGCGAGAACGCGGCGCGAUUCUUUUUAUACUUAAGUUUAUUCAAAUGUUUUCAAUUUUGAUGAAGAGUUUAAUCAAAGAGUGUUAUUAGGAAACGGCAAAGAUAAAGUCUG